rnacentral:misc_RNA from 1 species
AGUUAAGUUGAGUUGAGUUGAGUUAGUUGCUGUUAAAUGCUGGUUGGCUGACUAUAUCCAUAAAAUAUUAUUUGGUAGGAAUGCAUAUAUGGAGGUCAUAAUUGUUAGAUUUCACCAUUAAAUCAGUUUAGUAAUUUUUACUUUUUAGCUACAUAAAUUUUGUUUUUCAGAGUGUUGUUUAAUACAAUAGUGUUAAAAUUUUAUUGGGUUUGUUACCAUAUCAGAAAGGGUGUGUUUAAACUUUUGAUGUUGCUGUCAACUCAUGUUCAUUGGAAAAAUAUUUCCUCAGGACCAUAUGGUUGCUGCAGGCAAUUAGGCAAUGACAUUUUCAUAUUUAUUUAUGUGUAUCAGCUAUGUUCAGGCUGUGUAAAUGCUUUUUUUUUAUUUUUUAUGGUACUCAGUUUCUACUUAUGCUUUGCGGUUCAACAUUGGAAUUCACAGGCAGUCAUAAGUACAUCAAGAAUAACUUAUUUUUUAGAUGCCAUGCUAAAUUAUAGGUUUCUUUA